rnacentral:rRNA from 1 species
UACGGGGGGAGCAAGCGUUGUUCGGAUUUACUGGGCGUAAAGGGCGCGUAGGCGGUCAGCACAAGUCAGUUGUGAAAUCUCCGGGCUUAACUCGGAAAGGUCAACUGAUACUGUGCGACUAGAGUGCAGAAGGGGCAACUGGAAUUCUCGGUGUAGCGGUGAAAUGCGUAGAUAGUCGAGAGGAACACCUGCGGCGAAGGCGGGUUGCUGGGCUGACACUGACGCUGAUGCGCGAAAGCCAGGGAGCGAACGGG